rnacentral:rRNA from 1 species
AUUGAACGCUGGCGGCAGGCCUAACACAUGCAAGUCGAGCGGGGUUUUCGGACCUAGCGGCGGACGGGUGAGUAAUGCGUAGGAAGCUACCCGAUAGAGGGGGAUACCAGUUGGAAACGACUGUUAAUACCGCAUAAUAUCUACGGACCAAAGUGUGGGACCUUCGGGCCACAUGCUAUCGGAUGCGCCUACGUGGGAUUAGCUAGUUGGUGAGGUAAUGGCUCACCAAGGCGACGAUCCCUAGCUGGUUUGAGAGGAUGAUCAGCCACACUGGAACUGAGACACGGUCCAGACGCCUACGGGAGGCAGCAGUGGGGAAUAUUGGACAAUGGGCGCGAGCCUGAUCCAGCCAUGCCGCGUGUGUGAAGAAGGCCUUCGGGUUGUAAAGCACUUUCAGUAGGGAGGAAGCGUUGUGUGUUAAUAGUACACAGCGUUGACGUUACCUACAGAAGAAGCACCGGCUAACUCUGUGCCAGCAGCCGCCGUAAAAC